rnacentral:rRNA from 1 species
AACGAACGCUGGCGGCAUGCCUAACACAUGCAAGUCGAACGAGACCUUCGGGUCUAGUGGCGCACUGGUGCGUAACGCGUGGGAACCUGCCCUUAGGUUCGGAAUAACUCCCCGAAAGGGGUGCUAAUACCGGAUAAUGUCUUCGGACCAAAGAUUUAUCGCCUUUGGAUGGGCCCGCGUUGGAUUAGCUAGUUGGUAGGGUAAAAGCCUAACAAGGCGACGAUCCAUAGCUGGUCUGAGAGGAUGAUCAGCCACACUGGGACUGAGACACGGCCCAGACUCCUACGGGAGGCAGCAGUGGGGAAUAUUGGACAAUGGGCGAAAGCCUGAUCCAGCAAUGCCGCGUGAGUGAUGAAGGCCUUAGGGUUGUAAAGCUAUUUUACCCGGGAUGAUAAUGACAGUACCGGGAGAAUAAGCUCCGGCUAACUCCGUG